AUGCCUUCCACUAGUCUCGCUUGCCGAUGCCCAGCUCCAAGGCCGAAGCUCGAGAGGGGAAACGAUGUCAAGGCACCACCAUUGUCUGAUCACAGGGGAUCUAGGGCUUCCACUGAAGCUGGAUCCAUGCAAAAGGGGUGUGGCAACAAUGCAGUGAUGCCUCUAAGGAUGUCAACAACGCCCACCGCAUCUUCGGUCACAGGUCCAAGGCCAAGACAUGGUUUUCACCCAAGCUCCCAAACACCCAAGCCACACCGGUGUUGGCAAGUCCACCAAGCACCACCACCACCGACAAGCAAGCUCAUCGAUGAAGGAGCCAGGCACUGCCGGCGGGCACCCACCAACAUCAUAUUAUGA
rnacentral:rRNA from 1 species